CAGAGGGAGAAGGGGUGGGGGUGGUGAAGUGGGUGAAGAGGGUUAAAAUGUACAAACUCCCAGCUAUGAAAUAAGUCAUGGGGGUGUAAUGUACAACAUAGGGACUAUAGUUAAUAAUAUCAUGUGGUAUAUCUGAAAGUUACUCAGAGAGUAGAUCUUAAAAGUUUUCAUCACAGGAAAAAAAAUUUUUGUAACUAUGU